CCCUACCCAAGUCCACUUCCGGAUUCCACCACGCCCACUAGCGUGUAUUUCCGAUACACUCAUCGGAGGCCGCAGCCUAAAGCCGCGGAGCGGUAAGUGUGCUCCACGAAGGCCCGUACGGUGUUCUGAAGUAAUACCUGUCUCUAGUGGCGGUGGGCUCGAGAGGCAGUGGGCCUUUACUUCUCGCAUCACGUAACAUUACAAGGCAGCCAUUUCCCUCGCGAGGGCAGAUGACGUCACUUCCGGGUCAUAUAAGGGCAGGUGAAAGCCGGAGGUGGCGUCAGCGCACUUGGUGUGGGGAGGAGUCAGGCCCGUUCCUCUAGGUGUUUCGGCAUUUUGCUCUGGAGCUUUUGGUAACGUUGGCGUAUUUAGCAAGUGAAGGAUGUAGGCUGACCAGUUCAAUUUGAAUUUCAGAUAAGCAGUAAAUAAUUCUUAAGUGUAUCCCAAAUACUGUAUGGGACAUAUAUACAUUAAAAUUACUUAUCUGCAAUUCUAAGUGAACUGAACUUUAUGUAUUUUGUUCGGCAGUCAGGGUUGAGCAUCCUUCUGCCCUGGGCUCUGGGAUCUAGUAGUAGAGCUGGACUCCUCUAGACCUUUGUCAGAGAAGUAGGUAUAGAGUUCACCCAGGCUGUAAAAAUCAGAUGUUCUAGGUACGAGAAUCCUUUUAGUUCUGAACUUAAUGGGUGAGCUCCAUGGAUCCCCCUGGCGAAAGCUGGGCACGUUUUCAGUCUUCAUGGCAGUGCCCUCUGUGUUCCCAGUCACAACAGGAGUCAGGCUGGGCUAUUAUUUUAUAGGAAAUCUGAGAACCAGGCCAGCUAAAUGGCCAGGUUUUGGAAGUUGUGGUGUUAUAUGAGUGAGGGAUAAAGUAGUGUUCGGGGUUCUCUUGUUACAGCGGACAGCAUCAGAAAGCCUGAGAGUGUCAAAGGUCAGAGCUUUAGUCUAUUUUUCUUUUUGGUAGUAAUUGGGAUUGAACUCUGGGACCUUUGCAUUGAGCCACAUUCCUAGACCUUUUUUAUGUUUUAUUUUGAGCCCAUCUCGCUGAGCUCAGGCUAGGCUCAAACUGGUGAUCCUCCUGCCUAAGCCUCCCAGAGUGCUGGGAUUACAGGCAUCCACCAAACCUGGCUUUUUUUGUGAACACUGCAGAGUCAAACCCAGGGUUUAAGCAUGCUAAAUGAGGCUCAGUGAGAGAAAAAGAGCCACGCAGAAAACCUGUGGUACAGCUGGAACCUCAAUUCCAAGUCUCCUUCCUCUGCUCCAUCCACACUUGUGGAUAGUUUGAAGCGUUCAUGGGAGGCAUUUAUUAAAGUAAAUGCCUUUUUAGGGGCUGGUGUGUAGCUCAGUGGUAGCAUAUGGAAGGCUCUGAGUUCAAUCCUCAAAACAAGUCAAAACAAAACAAAAGUAGAUGUCUUUUUACAGAAGAGCCCCUUGGGGCUUUAUUGUCCUUAAAUCCCUCUUACAGCUUCCUGACCUUCACCCCAAGUCUUUUCUAGCUUUCGUUCUGCCCAGUGGGGAAAGUGACUAUUUGGACUAAGUUGGGAGCCUGGCCUUUGCCUGUGUUAGCUGUUGGACUCACACCACUUUGAGUGGUAUAACUCAGGACUUGUUUUGCUGUUUGAGAGCCAGAAGGGAUGUUAUUGGCAGGAUUGGGUCUGGCUAGCUAUGUGGGUAGAAGGGCACCUUUUCCUGUCCAGUAGAUUGGGCCCUGUAGCACAUAGCCACAUGAAAUGCUUGGGGAUUUCCCCAAGGUUCCUCCAUGGGUCAGUCUGUGCUGCUACUCCUGAUUUUUAUUUUAUUUUAUGGGACUGCGGAUGGAACCCAGGGCCGUCACACUGAGCUACAUCCCCAGACCCUCUCUUUUUAAAGUUUUUAUUUUGAGACAGGGUCUCACUAAAUCCUUAAAUUUCCCAGAAUGGGCUCAAACUUUCUAUCCUCUUGCCUCAGCCUCCUAAAG
ensembl:lncRNA